rnacentral:tRNA from 1 species
CGUUCUAUGGCCGAACUGGUAAGGCAUCGCCGAUUACAGGCGAAGAUGCGGGUUCGAGUCCCGCCAAAACGG